rnacentral:rRNA from 1 species
GAUGAACGCUGGCGGCGUGCCUAAUACAUGCAAGUCGAGCGAACGGACGAGAAGCUUGCUUCUCUGAUGUUAGCGGCGGACGGGUGAGUAACACGUGGAUAACCUACCUAUAAGACUGGGAUAACUUCGGGAAACCGGAGCUAAUACCGGAUAAUAUUUUGAACCGCAUGGUUCAAAAGUGAAAGACGGUCUUGCUGUCACUUAUAGAUGGAUCCGCGCUGCAUUAGCUAGUUGGUAAGGUAACGGCUUACCAAGGCAACGAUGCAUAGCCGACCUGAGAGGGUGAUCGGCAACACUGGAACUGAGACACGGCCCAGACUCCUACGGGAGGCAGCAGUAGGGAAUCUUCCGCAAUGGGCGAAAGCCUGACGGAGCAACGCCGCGUGAGUGAUGAAGGUCUUCGGAUCGUAAAACUCUGUUAUUAGGGAAGAACAUAUGUGUAAGUAACUGUGCACAUCUUGACGGUACCUAAUCAGAAAGCCACGGCUAACUACGUG